rnacentral:rRNA from 1 species
AUUGAACGCUGGCGGCAUGCUUUACACAUGCAAGUCGAACGGUAACAGGCCGCAAGGUGCUGACGAGUGGCGAACGGGUGAGUAAUGCAUCGGAACGUGCCCAGUCGUGGGGGAUAACGCAGCGAAAGCUGUGCUAAUACCGCAUACGAUCUGUGGAUGAAAGCGGGGGACCGUAAGGCCUCGCGCGAUUGGAGCGGCCGAUGUCAGAUUAGGUAGUUGGUGGGGUAAAGGCUCACCAAGCCGACGAUCUGUAGCUGGUCUGAGAGGACGACCAGCCACACUGGGACUGAGACACGGCCCAGACUCCUACGGGAGGCAGCAGUGGGGAAUUUUGGACAAUGGGCGCAAGCCUGAUCCAGCAAUGCCGCGUGCAGGAAGAAGGCCUUCGGGUUGUAAACUGCUUUUGUACGGAGCGAAAAGGCUCUCUCUAAUACAGGGGGCUCAUGACGGUACCGUAAGAAUAAGCACCGGCUAACUACGUGCCAGCAGCCGCAGUAAGAC